CUCAGUGAGAAAGUGGUAUAAAGCUCCUGUUGAUUGAAGAACUUGAGUGAGAAAGUGGUAAUAACUCGGCAAGCUGCUCAUAUGUGUCUGGCCUCUCCACUUGCUCUUAGCUCCUGAGGGCAAAGCCUGGGCCUCAUCCUCUUGUGGAUCCAGGAGAGCAGUCGCUGAAGAGAAAGAGGAAGAAAAGGAGUGGCUAGAAAAGAAAGUUUAUUUCCACUGCAGGAAGCACUGCCUCCCAUCUGAGAAAUGUCCCAAGCAGGAAUCAGGAAUUCAUCCUGAAG
rnacentral:lncRNA from 1 species